UACGUAGGGAGCAAGCGUUGUUCGGAUUUACUGGGCGUAAAGGGCGCGUAGGCGGCAAUUUAAGUCAGCUGUGAAAUCUCCGAGCUUAACUCGGAACGGUCAGCUGAUACUGAUCUGCUAGAGUGCGGAAGGGGCAAUCGGAAUUCUUGGUGUAGCGGUGAAAUGCGUAGAUAUCAAGAGGAACACCUGAGGUGAAGACGGGUUGCUGGGCCGACACUGACGCUGAGUGCGCGAAAGCCAGGGGAGCAAACGGG
rnacentral:rRNA from 1 species